UACGUAGGGGGCGAGCGUUGUCCGGAUUUAUUGGGCGUAAAGGGCACGUAGGCGGUCGUCGAGGUUUGGGCUGACAGCUCGUCGCUUCACGACGAGAGGGGUCUGAAAACGGGACGACUUGAGCGACACAGAGGGACACAGAAUUCCGGGUGGAGUGGUGAAAUGCGUAGAGAUCCGGAGGAAUACCAAAGGCGAAGGCAGUGUCCUGGGUGUUGGCUGACGCUGAGGUGCGAAAGCCAGGGGAGCGAACGGG
rnacentral:rRNA from 1 species